rnacentral:rRNA from 1 species
GGAAUUUUGGACAAUGGGGGCAACCCUGAUCCAGCCAUGCCGCGUGAGUGAAGAAGGCCUUCGGGUUGUAAAGCUCUUUCGGUCGGGAAGAAAUCGCAUGGGUUAAUACCCUGUGCGGAUGACGGUACCGACAUAAGAAGCACCGGCUAACUACGUGCCAGCAGCCGCGGUAAUACGUAGGGUGCGAGCGUUAAUCGGAAUUACUGGGCGUAAAGCGUGCGCAGGCGGUUUUGUAAGACAGGCGUGAAAUCCCCGGGCUCAACCUGGGAACUGCGUUUGUGACUGCAAGGCUAGAGUAUGGCAGAGGGGGGUGGAAUUCCACGUGUAGCAGUGAAAUGCGUAGAGAUGUGGAGGAACACCGAUGGCGAAGGCAGCCCCCUGGGCCAAUACUGACGCUCAUGCACGAAAGCGUGGGUAGCAAACAGGAUUAGAUACCCUGGUAGUCCACGCCCUAAACGAUGUCAACUAGGUGUUGGGUGGGUAAAACCAUUUAGUACCGGAGCUAACGCGUGAAGUUGACCGCCUGGGGAGUACGGCCGCAAGGUUA